UCUUAUAUCAAGCUAAAUGCGGCAGCCACCCACCAUACGGGGAGACAAAAUGAGGCCCCUCCAUAUUCCAUCCAUUAUCACGUCAUUCAUUGUUCAUAUGCCCAUCUACUGAAUUAAAGCCUAGCUCGGCUUCCUCAUGCCCCCUGCUCUCAUCUCCAUAGCAUGAUUGAAUCUUCUACCUACUAAUUACCGGGCAUGCGGCGGCGGCGGCGCCGGCAACAUCGAUUGUAGACUGAACUCUCCGGCUAGACCAGCGAAGAUGCUACUACAAGGUUGAACAAGCAGAUCAAGAGGCACCAGAUCAAUCAAAGAGGAACGCCAUACCGAGACGACGACCAUCAAAGCGGAGCCGUGGGCUGCCAUCACAAUGAUGAGUUUCGACGUGGACCUGGAUUGCGCUAGAUGCAUUUAUCUCCUCAAGCCUGUUCUGUGUUCUGUGGUGAUCUUUUAAUCAUAAGUUGAUUCCAUUGCAAACAGAAAAGUAGCUCAUCAGUUUUUUGGUUUCUCCUUUUACAAAUCCAGCGCUAAUCAGGCUUUCCUAGGAUGGAACUCAGGUUCAUCUAUUGCAAAUCA